rnacentral:rRNA from 1 species
AACGCGAAGAACCUUACCAGGGCUUGACAUCCCUCUGACCGGUGUAGAGAUAUGCCUUUCCCUUCGGGGACAGAGGAGACAGGUGGUGCAUGGUUGUCGUCAGCUCGUGUCGUGAGAUGUUGGGUUAAGUCCCGCAACGAGCGCAACCCUUGCCUUUAGUUGCUAACAGGUAAUGCUGAGCACUCUAGAGGGACUGCCGGCAAAAAGUUGGAGGAAGGUGGGGAUGACGUCAAAUCAUCAUGCCCUUUAUGUCCUGGGCUACACACGUGCUACAAUGGUCGGUACAAAGGGCAGCGACCUAGCGAUAGGAAGCGAAUCCCAUAAAGCCGAUCUCAGUUCGGAUUGCAGGCUGCAACUCGCCUGCAUGAAGCCGGAGUUGCUAGUAAUCGCAGAUCAGAAUGCUGCGGCGAAUGCGUUCCCGGGUCUUGUACACACCG